rnacentral:rRNA from 1 species
CAGCCGCCGCGGUAAUACGUAGAUGGCAAGCGUUGUCCGGAAUUAUUGGGCGUAAAGGGCUCGCAGGCGGUUUCUUAAGUCUGAUGUGAAAGCCCCCGGCUCAACCGGGGAGGGUCAUUGGAAACUGGGAAAUUUGAGUGCAGAAGAGGAGAGUGGAAUUCCACGUGUAGCGGUGAAAUGCGUAGAGAUGUGGAGGAACACCAGUGGCGAAGGCGACUCUCUGGUCUGUAACUGACGCUGAGGAGCGAAAGCGUGGGGAGCGAACAGGAUUAGAUACCCCCGUAGUCCCUGUCUCUUAUAC